UUUGAUCCUGGCUCAGGAUGAACGCUGGCGGUCUGCUAAACACAUGCAAGUCGAACGAAGUCUUCGGAAAUCUGCCUAGAGGUCGGGGACAACCAUUGGAAACGAUGGCUAAUACCGGAUAUGCCUUGCGGGGUGAAAGAUUAAUCGCCUUUAGAAGAGCUCGCGUCUAAUUAGCUAGUUGGUAGGGUAAAAGCCUACCAAGGCAUCGAUCAGUAGCUGGUCUGAGAGGAUGACCAGCCACACUGGGACUGAGACACGGCCCAGACUCCUACGGGAGGCAGCAGUGGGGAAUUUUCCGCAAUGGGCGAAAGCCUGACGGAGCAAGACCGCGUGAGGGAGGAAGGCUCUUGGGUUGUAAACCUCUUUUGUCAGGGAAGAACACAAUGACGGUACCUGACGAAUCAGCAUCGGCUAACUCCGUGCCAGCAGCCGCGGUAAUACGGAGGAUGCAAGCGUUAUCCGGAAUUAUUGGGCGUAAAGCGUCCGCAGGUGGCUAAUCAAGUCUGCGGUCAAGGACCGGGGCUUAACCCUGGAAAGGCCGUGGAAACUGAUAAAGCUAGAGUACCGUAGGGGUAGAGGGAAUUCCCGGUGUAGCGGUGAAAUGCGUAGAGAUCGGGAAGAACAUCGGUGGCGAAAGCGCUCUACUGGACGGUGACUGACACUCAGGGACGAAAGCUAGGGGAGCGAGUGGGAUUAGAUACCCCAGUAGUCCUAGCCGUAAACGAUGGAUACUAG
rnacentral:rRNA from 1 species